UAUGUAGGGUGCAAGCGUUGUCCGGAAUUAUUGGGCGUAAAGGGCUCGUAGGCGGUUUGUCGCGUCGGGAGUGAAAUCCACUGGCUUAACUGGUGGCUUGCUUUCGAUACGGGCAGACUGGAGGUAUGCAGGGGAGAACGGAAUUCCUGGUGUAGCGGUGAAAUGCGCAGAUAUCAGGAGGAACACCGGUGGCGAAGGCGGUUCUCUGGGCAUGUCCUGACGCUGAGGAGCGAAAGUGUGGGGAGCGAACAGG
rnacentral:rRNA from 1 species